UGCUUCAUUUGAGAGUUGUAUAAAAAUGGGCUGAUCAACGCACAAGUUGGCCCAGAUACCAUAGUUAUCAAACAUGAAAAUAAAAAUGGGCUGAUCAAUCAAAAAGAUUUUAAGGAAAAACAAUAACAAACAUCAAAUCUUCCUCAUAAAGCUAAAAGAAUAGUCCUUUAGUUGUACUUCUACCUAAUUUAGAUGUUGUAGCAAAAGGGGUUCAUCUAACGAUUUGGAAAUGAGUGAUGAAAAACAUAACAACUUUAGACACUUUACAUCAAUCUUUCCACAUUAAGUAAAACGGAUUCAUACAGAAAGGAGUGUUCACAUUAAUCUUUGCUCAUUAAGGUUCAAAGACAAGCUUAAUUUGGGCAGUUGUUCAAGAAUGUGGCCCCCAUUUGAUCGUGACAAGAUGUGUUUGAUUCUCACUCAACUCUGUUUUCUCUGACUGGCUUCUAGAUGUCGUCUGUUUUAUAGCUUAUAUCCAGUAAAUGUAAUGGUCCUCUUUUUUUAUUAGUUUGGUGUUAUCGUUUCCUUAUUACGUAUUCCUGGCAGAUAACAACUAUGCCGCAAUGGCAAGCAAGUCUGGGUAGGCGAUAUGAAUCAUUUCUGACCAUGCUGCUAUAAUUAAGAUCACCUUAGGACCCGUAUUAUACAACAACAAAAAGUACUAGAAGUGCUUCAUAAGUAUGCGUGGAGAAAUUUAUCUAAUUGGUUCAGAUCUAUCAAUUGAAUCACUGAACAUUCUGUGAUCGUUAUGGUCUUUGAUGUUGUUUAAAUGACACUUUUACGUACAUUAAGAGAAGAAAGAAGUCAUUGAACUUUAGGAAGAA